AUUGAACGCUGGCGGCAUGCCUUACACAUGCAAGUCGAACGGCAGCACGGGUGCUUGCACCUGGUGGCGAGUGGCGAACGGGUGAGUAAUACAUCGGAACGUACCUUAUCGUGGGGGAUAACGCAGCGAAAGCUGUGCUAAUACCGCAUACGCCCUGAGGGGGAAAGCGGGGGAUCGCAAGACCUCGCGCGAUUAGAGCGGCCGAUGCCUGAUUAGCUUGUUGGUGGGGUAAAAGCCCACUAAGGCGACGAUCAGUAGCUGGUCUGAGAGGACGAUCAGCCACACUGGGCCUGAGACACGGCCCAGACUCCUACGGGAGGCAGCAGUGGGGAAUUUUGGACAAUGGGGGCAACCCUGAUCCAGCAAUGCCGCGUGAGUGAAGAAGGCCUUCGGGUUGUAAAGCUCUUUUGUCAGGGAAGAAACACCGGCUCUAACACAGUCCGGGAAUGACGGUACCUGAGGAAUAAGCACCGGCUAACUACGUGCCAGCAGCCGCCGUAA
rnacentral:rRNA from 1 species